rnacentral:rRNA from 1 species
GUGGGGAAUAUUGCGCAAUGGGGGAAACCCUGACGCAGCGACGCCGCGUGAGCGAAGAAGGCCUUAGGGUUGUAAAGCUCUGUUUUAAGGGACGAAUGUCGUGGGGAGUAAUAUGCUCUGCGAAUGACGGUACCUUAAGAGGAAGCCCCGGCUAACUACGUGCCAGCAGCCGCGGUAAGACGUAGGGGGCGAGCGUUGUCCGGAAUUACUGGGCGUAAAGAGCACGUAGGCGGGAACUUAAGUCAGGUGUGAAAGACCGGGGCUCAACUCCGGGGUUGCACUUGAAACUGGGUUUCUUGAGGGCAGGAGAGGAAAGCAGAAUUCCUGGUGUAGCGGUGAAAUGCGUAGAAAUCAGGAGGAAUACCAGUGGCGAAGGCGGCUUUCUGGACUGACCCUGACGCUGAGGAGCGAAAGUGUGGGGAGCAAACAGGAUUAGAUACCCGGGUAGUCC